rnacentral:lncRNA from 12 species
UGCAGAUGGUUCUGAGUGAUGUAAACAACCUCUGUUUCCUUAACCGUGAUUGAGCGAACUGUUCCGGAAACUUCCUCAGGCAACUGGUCCUUCACUGGAAACACGUGGAUCAUCACAGUCUAUGGUUGAAGAGGUACAGACCAUAUACUUCUGUUAUAAAUAUUCACACCAAAAAGUGAAAUGAUUUUGAACACAGAUACAAAGUUACAUGUCUGUCUGAUAGAUUCGGAGGCUGAUGGACAUCUGAGAGGAUGAAAUCAAAAGAGUCCUCAAACACUUCCUCCCCUGAGUGCUUAUAGUAGAUUAGACCUUGAAACAGGUCCCUCUGCAGGAAGCUCUUCACUGGGAUACCUGGUUGACAUGACACCAUAUAACGGUCUGUGCAAACAAAAGUCUGCUGGAGUGGAAAGACAGCCGCUACGGCUCUAAAGACAUCUUUGGUCCACAGCCCCUGGCAAAGUGUCGCCGAAGCAUUUUACACCUGAUUAGCAAACCCAUGCAGGCCACCCGGACAUAUGUUUCUUGAAUGAUGCCCAAAUGAAGGAUGGUUACCACAUGGACGGAGAAGGAAUAAAGAAUGGGUUUACACUUUAUGAGACUUACUAUGACACAUCAGUGGAAAAAGGUCCUGGAAAUUACAUUUGGAUUGGCUUCUACUUUAAGAGAGGUCUUGCCAUGAGAAGGAGAAUGCAGUUUUGGUGUGAUCGUCCAAAUGAGUAAUAUAUCCCUCCGCUGGAGGUUUGGUCACGUUGAAGAUGAGCUGGGCCUGAGGGGUCUCGUCAUCUUUGGCAUCCAGGGCAGCAGUGGUCAUGGGGGUGAGGAUGAACUGAUCUACCUCCAGGAUGAACGUAGACAUGAAGGCAGCAUUGGGAGGUUGGUUCUGCAUGGCCCCUUGGAUCAGUACUGGUAUCCAGAUACUCUCAGUCUAAGAGAGAAGAAGCAUGGUUCGGGAGGUCUGGUCCCUGAACUCCACCCUGAUUGGGAUGUAAUCAAUCUCAGGUGA